rnacentral:rRNA from 1 species
AUUGAACGCUGGCGGCAGGCCUAACACAUGCAAGUCGAACGGUAACAGGAAGACGCUUGCUUCUUUGCUGACGAGUGGCGGACGGGUGAGUAAUGUCUGGGAAACUGCCUGAUGGAGGGGGAUAACUACUGGAAACGGUAGCUAAUACCGCAUAACGUCGCAAGACCAAAGAGGGGGACCUUCGGGCCUCUUGCCAUCGGAUGUGCCCAGAUGGGAUUAGCUAGUAGGUGGGGUAACGGCUCACCUAGGCGACGAUCCCUAGCUGGUCUGAGAGGAUGACCAGCCACACUGGAACUGAGACACGGUCCAGACUCCUACGGGAGGCAGCAGUGGGGAAUAUUGCACAAUGGGCGCAAGCCUGAUGCAGCCAUGCCGCGUGUAUGAAGAAGGACUUCGGGUUGUAAAGUACUUUCAGCGGGGAGGAAGGGAGUAAAGUUAAUACCUUUGCUCAUUGACGUUACCCGCAAAAGAAGCACCGGCUAACUCCGUG